GACGAACGCUGGCGGCGUGCUUAACACAUGCAAGUCGAACGGAAAGGCCCCCUUGUGGGGUACUCGAGUGGCGAACGGGUGAGUAACACGUGAGUAACCUACCCUUGACUUUGGGAUAACUUCAGGAAACUGGGGCUAAUACCGGAUAGGAGCUCCUGCUGCAUGGUGGGGGUUGGAAAGUUUCGGCGGUUGGGGAUGGACUCGCGGCUUAUCAGCUUGUUGGUGGGUAGUGGCUCACCAAGGCUUUGACGGGUAGCCGGCCUGAGAGGGUGACCGGCCACAUUGGGACUGAGAUACGGCCCAGACUCCUACGGGAGGCAGCAGUGGGGAAUAUUGCACAAUGGGCGGAAGCCUGAUGCAGCAACGCCGCGUGCGGGAUGACGGCCUUCGGGUUGUAAACCGCUUUCGCCUGUGACGAAGCGUGAGUGACGGUAAUGGGUAAAGAAGCACCGGCUAACUACGUG
rnacentral:rRNA from 1 species